GCGCCUAUAGCUCAGACGGUUAGAGCGCAGUCCUGAUAAGACUGAGGUCCCUGGUUCAAGUCCAGGUAGGCGCA
rnacentral:tRNA from 1 species